CAACAAAACUGACGUUCAA
rnacentral:siRNA from 1 species